CGCUCAGUUCAGAAAUCUGUACAAGUCCUCCAGUACAUGUACAAUGCCAACAGCAGGACUGCAGAGUCUCAAAGGCUGCCAGACAGCGACUUUUAUUUGCUCCUGAACCCAUUCUUUCUUGGUGCGGAUCUGCGUCAAUGGAUUUUACAGACGAAACACGAGAUGGGUGCUGAGCCUCUCUUAUCCUCGGUAGAUUUCCAAUUGUGAUGGAUCUGCAAUCAAAAGAAAAUGAUUCUUGACGCGUAUGCUGAAAUCACCAAGGAGGGAUCAUUCAGUCAGAUCGGGUGGAAUUUCUUCUGCAAUUAUGGACCAGAUUAUCUGCUUGCUGAAGAUGCGCUUUUAAGACUGAAGCUGAGACGAGCAUCCAUUUCAGAAGACACUUUUGAACAACUGGAUGCCGUUCAUCACAAGGACUAUAAAAAAAGACUUGAGGUCUUUUUUGAUGAGAACUUUGAAGCGAAGCAUUGUCAACAUCAAAGACUUUUUCAUGAAGUCUUUCACCAG